UACUUGUACCGACUGGAUGAGCAGCGAACGGGUGAGUAACGCGUGGGGAAUCUGCCUUUGAGCGGGGGACAACAUUUGGAAACGAAUGCUAAUACCGCAUAAAAACUUUAAACACAAGUUUUAAGUUUGAAAGAUGCAAUUGCAUCACUCAAAGAUGAUCCCGCGUUGUAUUAGCUAGUUGGUGAGGUAAAGGCUCACCAAGGCGAUGAUACAUAGCCGACCUGAGAGGGUGAUCGGCCACAUUGGGACUGAGACACGGCCCAAACUCCUACGGGAGGCAGCAGUAGGGAAUCUUCGGCAAUGGACGAAAGUCUGACCGAGCAACGCCGCGUGAGUGAAGAAGGUUUUCGGAUCGUAAAACUCUGUUGGUAGAGAAGAACGUUGGUGAGAGUGGAAAGCUCAUCAAGUGACGGUAACUACCCAGAAAGGGACGGCUAACUACGUGCCAGCAGCCGCGGUAAUACGUAGGUCCCGAGCGUUGUCCGGAUUUAUUGGGCGUAAAGCGAGCGCAGGUGGUUUAUUAAGUCUGGUGUAAAAGGCAGUGGCUCAACCAUUGUAUGCAUUGGAAACUGGUAGACUUGAGUGCAGGAGAGGAGAGUGGAA
rnacentral:rRNA from 1 species